CCUACGGGAAGGCAGCAGUGGGGAAUCUUGCGCAAUGGGCGAAAGCCUGACGCAGCAACGCCGCGUGCGGGAAGAAGGCCUUCGGGUUGUAAACCGCUUUCAGCAGGAACGAAAAUGACGGUACCUGCAGAAGAAGGAGCGGCCAACUACGUGCCAGCAGCCGCGGUGACACGUAGGCUCCAAGCGUUGUCCGGAUUUAUUGGGCGUAAAGAGCUCGUAGGCGGUUCAGUAAGUCGGGUGUGAAAACUCUGGGCUCAACCCAGAGCCUGCAUUCGAAACUGCUGUGACUAGAGUUUGGUAGGGGAGCGGGGAAUUCCUAGUGUAGCGGUGAAAUGCGCAGAUAUUAGGAGGAACACCGGUGGCGAAAGCGCCGCUCUGGGCCAAUACUGACGCUGAGGAGCGAAAGCGUGGGUAGCAAACAGGAUUAGAUACCCUGGUAGUCCACGCCGUAAACGAUGGGCACUAGGUGUGGGUUUCAACUAACGAAAUCCGUGCCGUCGCUAACGCAUUAAGUGCCCCGCCUGGGGUAGGUACGGUCGCAGACAAACUACAAGAAUAGAGCGNGAGACGNGCGACGCGACACGAGGAGAG
rnacentral:rRNA from 1 species